rnacentral:misc_RNA from 1 species
GAUGAAGAACGUAGCGAAAUGCGAUAAGUAAUGCGAAUUGCAGAAUUUCCGUGAGUCAUCGAAUCUUUGAACGCACAUUGCGCCCACUGGUAUUCCGGUGGGCAUGCCUGUUCGAGCGUCAUUAUCCUCCCUCAAACCCCGGGUUUGGUGUUGGACCCAAGUUGUGUGAACAACUGGUCUCAAAGACAAUGACGGCGUCCGUGGGAUCCUCGGUGCAACGAGCUUUUAGGAGCACGCAUCGAGUUGCAAGGACCUUCCGGGCCGGUCUCCUUUACCAUUUUACAAGGUUGACCUCGGAUCAGGUAGGAAUACCCGCUGAACUUAAGCAUAUCAAUAAGCGGAGGA